CGUCAUCACUUGUUGCGGACUCGGUGACGUCACCGCGCCGAAUGCGUACUACGUCAUCGGAUCCUGAGUAUGGUCGCCAUUGGGUUAAACGCCUGAGAAAGCCGAGCGAGGAAGCUAAGUUGAAGAGGGGGGUGGGUGGGUAGAAACUGCGGCCUCUAAGCUACUUAGCCCGCCCCCAACACCCCGCACUCCGAGAGACCCCUUCGGAAUCCGAGCCCGGUGCAAGUGGCGAUUAAUGAAGAAUGUCUGCGACAAGCGUUGACCCUCAGAGAGCGAAAGGACAAGAGAAUAAAGUGCAAAAUGGUUCAUUGCAUCAAAAGGAUACAGUGCACGACAAUGAUUUUGAGCCAUACCUAAGUAGCCAGUCCAAUCAGGAAACAGUGCAGCUAAAGGGGCCAUCCGCAACUUGAAAAGAGUUCAUAUACGAAUAGGGAUGUGCACUGGAAUGAAAUCUACAGGUAGCAUCGGAAGAAUAUGAAGAAAAAAAAAAUUUUUGAACUAUAACAGUGAGCAAAAUUAAGAAAGUGAGAUAAUGAGGGAGAUGAAUUGGGCCUCUAUUCCACACAUAGUAUCUUUCAAGACAUUUUGCCUGAUGUGAAUGGAGAGAUUUACAGCAAUAACACAGCAUGUUCCAGAAACAACAUACCAAGCUGAAGACUCUGUCAGUCUCAAAGAAUGUGCAGCAAUCUUAUUUAUGGCAACAUCAUGGAUGGUUUUAAUCUUGUUCAGUUGUUGAAACAUGAGGCAGUUCUUGUUGAAUAGAUACAUAGCAACAUCUUCUAGCCAUUUAAUACCUUGAGAUUUUCAGCCUUUCAUUGAAAUCAUGGCUGAUCUGUGUCCUAUUUCCAUUUAUGCCUUUCUCAUAUUGCAUAGCGCUUAUUGCUUAAUAAAAAUCUAUCAAUAUUCAAUUUCAAAUUAACAGUUAAUUUGGAAUUCACUAUUUCCAGUAGGGAGAUCCAAAUGUCCUUAUGCCUGAAAGGUCUUAUUCUAAUUUUUACGUUAUAUACCCUAGGCCUAAACUGCCAACCAGUGGAAAUAAAAGUAUCUACCUACACUAUUAGAUCAAUCAUUUUAUCACUUCAUGGGAACAAAACUCUAUUUUAUCCGAUCUUUCUUGGUUUUGUAACCCUUGGACCCCAGUUAUCAAUCUGUUUGUUCUUACUUCCUACAAGACCAUUAUAUUCUAACUAUGGACUGCAAGAACUGUCUACACUGUACAAUAUUUAAAGUGUGUUUUUAUAAAGCUGAAGCUGGGCUGCUGUUGAUAACUCCAUGCUGGCUUUCUCUGGCAGGUGAAAAUCUUCAAGGUUUUCAAUCACUCUUUCCUUAAUUAUAGAUUCUUGUAAUUUCUGGCAACAAAUAUUAAAGCUAAAUUUGCAGUAAACCA